UGGGAUGUAGCUCAUAUGGUAGAGCGCUCGCUUCGCAUGCGAGAGGUACGCGUAUCGAUAACCCGUAUCUCCA
rnacentral:tRNA from 1 species